UACGGAGGGUGCAAACGUUGCUCGGAAUUAUUGGGCGUAAAGCGCACGUAGGCGGCUUUGCAAGUCGGAUGUGAAAUCCCUCGGCUUAACCAAGGAAGUGCAUCCGAAACUGCAGAGCUUGAGUACUUAAGAGGAUCGCGGAAUUCCCAGUGUAGAGGUGAAAUUCGUAGAUAUUGGGAAGAACACCGAUGGCGAAGGCAGCCAUCUGGACCGACACUGACGCUGAGGCGCGAAAGCGUGGGGAGCAAACAGG
rnacentral:rRNA from 1 species